AACGAACGCUGGCGGCAGGCCUAACACAUGCAAGUCGAACGCUGUAGCAAUACAGAGUGGCAGACGGGUGAGUAACGCGUGGGAACAUUCCUAGUGGUACGGAAUAGCUCAGGGAAACUUGGGGUAAUACCGUAUAAGCCCUUACGGGGAAAGAUUUAUCGCCAUUAGAUUGGCCCGCGUUGGAUUAGCUAGUUGGUGAGGUAACGGCUCACCAAGGCGACGAUCCAUAGCUGGUUUGAGAGAAUGACCAGCCACACUGGGACUGAGACACGGCCCAGACUCCUACGGGAGGCAGCAGUGGGGAAUCUUGGACAAUGGGCGCAAGCCUGCUCCAGCCAUGCCGCGUGAGUGACGAAGGCCUUCGGGUUGUAAAGCUCUUUUGACGGGGACGAUAAUGACGGUACCCGUAGAAUAAGUCCCGGCUAACUUCGUGCCAGCAGCCGCCGUAA
rnacentral:rRNA from 1 species